CCUACGGGAGGCAGCAGUGGGGAAUAUUGCACAAUGGGCGCAAGCCUGAUGCAGCCAUGCCGCGUGUAUGAAGAAGGCCUUCGGGUUGUAAAGCACUUUCAGCGGGGAGGAAGGCGAUAAGGUUAAUAACCUUGUCGAUUGACGUUACCCGCAGAAGAAGCACCGGCUAACUCCGUGCCAGCAGCCGCGGUAAUACGGAGGGUGCAAGCGUUAAUCGGAAUUACUGGGCGUAAAGCGCACGCAGGCGGUCUGUCAAGUCGGAUGUGAAAUCCCCGGGCUCAGCCUGGGAACUGCAUUCGAAACUGGCAGGCUAGAGUCUUGUAGAGGGGGGUAGAAUUCCAGGUGUAGCGGUGAAAUGCGUAGAGAUCUGGAGGAAUACCGGUGGCGAAGGCGGCAACCUGGCUCGAUACUGACGCUGAGGCGCGAAAGCGUGGGGAGCGAACAGGAUUAGAUACCCCAGUAGUC
rnacentral:rRNA from 1 species